rnacentral:misc_RNA from 1 species
GCAAACUUGGUCAUUUAGAGGAAGUAAAAGUCGUAACAAGGUUUCCGUAGGUGAACCUGCGGAAGGAUCAUUAUUGAAGCUUUCGAAAUGGUUUUGUUGCUGCCUUGAAAAAGGAUUUUGUGCACGGCCUUUCAUUCUUCUAUUUACCCACCUGUGAAUCUUUCAUGGAACUAUGUUUUAUUCUGUUUUUCACUGAAAAUGUGAGACUUGAGAGUUAGUUUAACUACUUUCUUUCAAAUAUAUUACAUAGUUCUGUGUUUUUCAUUAUACACUAUUGAAAUAAUUUUGAAUGUUAUAUUUUGCUUAUAUAGCAUAAUAAAAUAUAAUACAACUUUCAGCAACGGAUCUCUUGGCUCUCGCAUCGAUGAAGAACGCAGC